GAUCCCGAAGCUCAAACGGAAGAGCGCCUCGCUGCGAACGAGGAGGUUGGUCGUUCGAGUCGGCCCGGGAUCG
rnacentral:tRNA from 1 species